GCCGCCCUAGCUCAAUGGCAGAGCAAUGCUUUCGUAAAGCAUAGGUUCACGGUUCAAGUCCGUGGGGCGGCU
rnacentral:tRNA from 1 species